rnacentral:rRNA from 1 species
UGAAUACGAGAUGCUACGGCAUCGAAGCAGUCUAUGUCAUACUUCCAAGAAAAGCUUGCACUGUCAUAAACAAAUAAUGCCUGUACCAUAACCGACACAGGUGGGUAGGUAGAGUAUACUAAGGGGCGCGAGAUAACUCUCUCUAAGGAACUCGGCAAAAUGACUCCGUAACUUCGGGAGAAGGAGUGCCUUAUUUUAUAAGGUUGCAAUAACAAGAUCCAAGCAACUGUUUACCAAAAACACAGGUCUCCGCUAAGUCGUAAGACGAUGUAUGGGGGCUGACGCCUGCCCAGUGCCAGAAGGUUAAAGAAGUUGGUUAGCAUUAGCGAAGCUGAUAACUGAAGCCCUGGUGAACGGCGGCCGUAACUAUAACGGUCCUAAGGUAGCGAAAUUCCUUGUCGGGUAAGUUCCGACCCGCACGAAAGGCGUAAUGAUUUGGAUACUGUCUCGGAGAGGGGCUCGGUGAAAUAGACUUGUCUGUGAAGAUGCGGACUACCUGCACCAGGACAGAAAGACCCUAUGAAGCUUUACUGUAACUUGAGAUUGAAAUUGGACUUUAUUUGCGCAGUAUAGGUGGGAGACGUUGAAAAUAUUCUUGCGGGAAUAUUGGAGUCAUCAGUGAGAUACCACUCUUAUAAUGUUAGAUUUCUAACUUUGUAUCAUUAUCUGGUCAAAGAACAGUCUCAGGCGGGCAGUUUGACUGGGGCGGUCGCCUCCCAAACGGUAACGGAGGCGCACAAAGGUUUCCUCUGAACGUGUAGAAAUCGUAUCUAGAGUGUAAAGGCAUAAGGAAGCUUGACUGUGAGACCUACAAGUCGAGCAGGGACGAAAGUCGGUCUUAGUGAUCUGACGGUGCUGAGUGGAAAGGCCGUCACUCAACGGAUAAAAGUUACUCUAGGAUAACAGGCUGAUCUCCCCCAAGAGUUCACAUCGACGGGGAGGUUUGGCACCUCGAUGUCGGCUCAUCGCAUCCUGGGGCGGUAGUACGUCCCAAGGGUUGGGCUGUUCGCCCAUGAAAGCGGUACGCGAGCUGGGUUCAGAACGUCGUGAGACAGUUCGGUCCAUAUCCGGUGUAGGCGUUAGAAUAUUGAGAGGAGCCUUCUUUAGUACGAGAGGACCGAGAAGGACAUACCUCUGGUGUACCAGUUAUCGUGCCAACGGUAAACGCUGGGUAGCUAUGUAUGGAGAGGAUAACCGCUGAAAGCAUCUAAGUGGGAAGCCCACCUCAAGAUAAGUAUUCC